AAAAGCACUUUGGAAAGAGAGUUAAAGAGGCCGCGAAACCGUUGGGAGGGAAACGCAUGCAGCCGAACGGGCCCGCGUCGGGUUCAAGGGGUUGCGAGGCGUUCGACGUGCCGUCGGCACCCCCGUGGGUCGACGGUGCGUGGAGGCGUCGUGCUCCCCUGCACUCUCGGCGACGAGGGCCGGCCAAGUGCGGCGGACACCGGGCGAGGAGCUCGCGUCGGGCAGGUAGCGCAGCCGUCUCUUCGACGGAGGCGAACUUACAGCCGGCCUUGCGGAGCGUCCGGGGUCCGCCGAGGAGAGUGGUGGCACUUCCACCCGUGCAGCGCAGGUCCGCUUUUCCGCGGCCGGGGCGCUCUCGUCCGCUCGUCGGUCGUGCCGAGUCACUGCGUGCAGUGUCCGGCCGCGACCGUCCGUCGGGCGGGAGGUCGUCCCACGCCUUGCGCUUCGGCCGCUU
rnacentral:rRNA from 1 species